ACGUUAGCGGCGGACGGGUGAGUAACACGUGGGUAACCUACCUAUAAGACUGGGAUAACUCCGGGAAACCGGGGCUAAUACCGGAUAACACAUGAAACCGCAUGGUUUCAUGAUGAAAGACGGUUUUGCUGUCACUUAUAGAUUGACCCGCGGCGUAUUAGCUAGUUGGUAAGGUAACGGCUUACCAAGGCAACGAUACGUAGCCGACCUGAGAGGGUGAUCGGCCACACUGGAACUGAGACACGGUCCAU
rnacentral:rRNA from 1 species